rnacentral:rRNA from 1 species
UAGGGAAUAUUGCGCAAUGGGGAAACCCUGACGCAGCGACGCCGCGUGAGUGACGAAGGCUUUCGGGUCGUAAAGCUCUGGCUUUGGGGACGCGGUACCCAAGGAGAAGCCCCGGCAAACUACGUGCCAGCAGCCGCGGUAAUACGUAGGGGGCGAGCGUUGUCCGGAAUUAUUGGGCGUAAAGGGUGUGUAGGCGGCUUUGCAAGUCAGAUGUGAAAUGGUACGGCUUAACCGUAUAUGGCAUUUGAAACUGCAGGGCUUGAGUUCGAAGAGGGAAACGGAAUUCCUGGUGUAGCGGUGAAAUGCGUAGAUAUCAGGAGGAACACCGGUGGCAAAGGCGGUUUCCUGGGCCGACACUGACGCUGAGGCACGAAAGCGUGGGGAGCGAACAGGAUUAGAUACCCUUGUAGU